AAGGAAUAUUGGACAAUGGCGAAAGCCUGAUCCAGCGACACCGCGUGGGGGAAGAAGGCCCUCGGGUUGUAAACCCCUUUUCCCGGGGAAGAAUAAUGACGGUACCUGGGGAAUAAGCCCCGGCUAACUACGUGCCAGCAGCCGCGGUAAUACGUAGGGGGCGAGCGUUAUCCGGAUUUACUGGGCGUAAAGCGGGCGUAGGCGGCCUGUCAAGUCGGAUGUGAAAUCUCCCGGCUUAACUGGGAGGGUGCAUUCGAUACUGAUGGGCUAGAGUACAGCAGAGGGAAGUGGAAUUCCCGGUGUAGUGGUGAAAUGCGUAGAUAUCGGGAAGAACACUAGUGGCGAAGGCGGCUUCCUGGGCUGUAACUCACGCUGAGGUCCGAAGGCGUGGGUAGCAAACAGGAUUAGAUAYCCUGUAGUMAYGCUGUAAACGAUGGAUAAUAGGUAUAG
rnacentral:rRNA from 1 species